rnacentral:rRNA from 1 species
GACGAACGCUGGCGGCGUGCCUAAUACAUGCAAGUCGAGCGAUCAAGAUUGGUGCUUGCACCUCUUUGAAGAGCAGCGAACGGGUGAGUAACGCGUGGGGAAUCUGCCUUUGAGCGGGGGACAACAUUUGGAAACGAAUGCUAAUACCGCAUAAUAACUUUAACCAUAAGUUUUAAGUUUGAAAGAUGCAAUUGCAUCAAUCAAAGAUGAUCCCGCGUUGUAAUAGCUAGUUGGUGAGGUAAAGGCUUACCAAGGCGAUGAUACAAAACCGACCUGAGAGGGUGAUCGGCCACAUUGGGACUUGAGCACGGCUCAAACCCCUACGGGGAGGAGCAGGAAGGAAACCUCGGCAAAUGACGAAAGGCCUACCGGGGCACGCCGCGGGGAUUGAGGAGGGUUUUGGAUCGUAAAACUCUGUUUGUAGGGAAGAACGAUGUGUGGAGUUGAAAGUGCACAAAGUGACGGUAACUACUCAGAAAGCCACGGCUAACUACGUG